CUGACAGCCAAAGAGGAACCAUUUCUACUUAGAGAUUGCCUCCUGUGGGAGUUUUCAGCAAGAUCUUAUCUUUGGAAAGGGGUAGAGCGUUGUGCUGAUUUCCUGGUCCCUGUUCUCUUAGGACUCUCCAUACAUCUGCUCAGAAAAUGUGUGGAUGUGGCACAGAGGGACAUGAUUGAUUCAAAGGUUAAGGAGGGAGAAGAGACAUCUGUCAUUCUAAUGGCAGAACAUAACCUUUCAUAUUCCUGUGGCGAUGCUUUAAUGAAAUUUAUCAAAGGGACUUUUCACUGACCUAAAAGCUGCCAAGAACACAAAAGGAUUUGUUGCAGACUGGGAGACAUGCAUUCUGUUUGCAAGCUGACAAAGUCUGUUCUACAUUCUGCUCCCAGCUACGUGACCAGGUUGUCUCUGUGCUAGGAAAAGAAAGCCACAAAAAUCCGACUCAAGAGCAGCAUGUAGGCUCCGUGCUCAAAGAGUUGAUAAAAACUUUUGGAUGUUAGGCUUAACACCUUCUUCACCCCAGCGGUUUCAUGCCAGCGAUAUUUCAAAGUGAUUCAAGAGCUCUUUUUUCCAGUGAACAGUGCUUAAAAGAUAGCAGGCUGCAAUGAGGAUUGUAACAGUGCUGUAACUAUUCUCAGGAAACUAUCAUUUGGGAAAGUCCUGGGAGAUAUCUUGGAGCUGAUUUGUGUUGUUCCCCAGUAAGGAGCAGAAGACACCUGCCAUUUAGUUAAAUGCCUUAUCUUGGCCUAUUUGGGAACCUCGUUUCAGAUGAAAGUGUCUAUGCUAAUCAAACAAAAUACUAUCAAAAGUGGUCCAGAUGAGAGUGAUAGCUUUAAAAAAAGCACUUUAAAAUGCUUGCGAUUUAUAGUUUUGUGUUAAAUCAGCUUAGCAUUCAUGAAAUAAAAGUGUUGACUACUUGCUGACAUUUUGUGUUUUUCUGAAGAUGAAGCUCAAAUACGAGGGCAGUAUGGGCCC
ensembl:lncRNA